UAGUUUGAUCCUGGCUCAGGACGAACGCUGACGGUGUGCUUUAGACAUGCAAGUCGAACGAGAAACCCCUUCGGGGUUAGUAAAGUGGCGAACGGGUGAGUAACACGUGGGCAAUCUGCCCUUCGUUGGGGGACAACCGGGGGAAACCCCGGCUAAUACCCCGUAAGCUUGUCGGGUCACAUGGCCUGACAAGGAGAGGUAGCUUCGGCCAUCCGGCGAAGGAGGAGCCCGCGGUACAUUAGCUAGUUGGUGAGGUAACGGCUCACCAAGGCUACGAUGUAUAGCUGGUCUGAGAGGAUGAUCAGCCACACUGGGACUGAGACACGGCCCAGACUCCUACGGGAGGCAGCAGUCGGGAAUCUUGCACAAUGGGCGAAAGCCUGAUGCAGCAACACCGUGUGAGCGAUGAAGGCCCUAGGGUCGUAAAGCUCUGUUUGCGAGGACGAAGGGCGAAGGGUUAAUAGCCCUUAGCCUGACGGUACUUGUACAGAAAGCCCCGGCUAACUACGUGCCAGCAGCCGCGGUAAUACGUAGGGGGCGAGCGUUGUCCGGAAUUAUUGGGCGUAAAGAGCGUGUAGGCGGCUUGGUAAGUCUGCUGUGAAACCUUGGGGCUCAACCCCAAGCGUGCAGUGGAUACUGUCAAGCUAGAGGAUGGUAGAGGCCAGUGGAAUUCCCAGUGUAGCGGUGAAAUGUGCAGAUAUUGGGAGGAACACCAGUAGCGAAGGCGGCUGGCUGG
rnacentral:rRNA from 1 species